CCGGCCCGGGGCGCUGGGGACGCGGCGGCGGCGGCGCCCGGAGCCCGGCGGCCGCCCAGCGCCCGUCCCCGCCGCGCAGCUCCCGCGCGCCUGGUUCCGCGGGCCGCGCGCCCCGCACACCGGACGGAGGCCCGGGCGCCCUCUCCGCGCACCUCCCGGCUGCGCUAGGUAACUCCGGGCUGGCUGAUCAGCAUUUUCAUUUUGCUUGUGAUAAACCUUGAAGGAGGAAAAGCACCGUCCAUGCAUUUUGGUGUGUGUCAGAGUGAAGAACCUCGGCCGGGACGCUUCUGAAAGUCCACUUUGACUGCCCAUUCAAGUAUUCAUUCCCUUCCCCACCAUGUCCUCCUCCAAUUAAACCCCUCGGGAAUGGUGAGGACCAGGGUUGCCAGCCAACUGUUGAUGGCAGAGCUGCUGCCAGCCUGGGUCUCCGAUGACUGACCGGAGCAGAGCUGCCCACCCAGCUGGAAUGCUUGUCUUGGACUAUUACCUGGGAGACAAAUAAACUCAUUGUUCU